AAGCUUCGCAAGGGCCAGAGGCCGUCGCCGGUAUCCGGCGUCAAGAAACCAAAGUGGUUUCCAAGCAUUGUUGAAAGGUAUCCUUAUCCUGAAUUCAAUAGGGAUAAGAAGCGAACGCAGGGAACUGAAACAUCUAAGUACCUGCAGGAAAGGACAUCAACCGAGACUCCGCAAGUAGUGGCGAGCGAACGCGGACCAGGCCAGUGGCAAUGAGGAAUAAAGUGGAACGACUUGGAAAGGUCGGCCGUAGCGGGUGAUAGCCCCGUACACAUAAAACACUCAUUGUCCUUGAGUAAGGCGGGACACCUGUAAUCCUGUGGGGAGNCCUCGAUCAAACAUGAU
rnacentral:rRNA from 1 species